CGAAGCCCUUGCGCAACAACUGCUAGGACACAGACGCCAACAGUUGCGCUCACUCAGCUACGCAGAAUGUCCCCAGCAAGCACUGCUGCUGCAAAUGGGCCACGGACGCCAACAGUCACGGUGGGGGGAAGAACCCCUACGCUAUCCAGCACACAGUCCUUGGCAUGCACUCCUGCCACAGACAAGCUUCACUCACCAACAUUUAUGACUGGAGGGGGAGUGUCCAGCACGCCUACGGAAUGCACCCCUGCCCCAAACGGUGGGCCUCAAGUGACAACAUUCACGAUUGUGGGGGGAACUGGUAGGGUACCCGGCACGUCCCCAGCACGAAGCCCCUGUGCAACAAUUGCUAGGCCACAGACGCCAACAGUUGCGCUC